GGUUCAGGACGAACGCUGGCGGCGUGCCUAAUACAUGCAAGUCGAACGGUCUUUCUAUGGAAGCUUGCUUCCACUGAGAAGAUAGUGGCGAACGGGUGAGUAACACGUGGGUAACCUGCCCAUAAGAGGGGGGAUAACAUCCGGAAACGGGUGCUAAUACCGCAUAGUUUUCUUGAUCGCAUGAUUGAGAAAGGAAAGAUGGCCUUUGUGCUGUCGCUUAUGGGUGGACCCGCGGCGUAUUAGUUAGUUGGUGAGGUAACGGCUCACCAAGACGAUGAUACGUAGCCGACCUGAGAGGGUGAUCGGCCACAUUGGGACUGAGACACGGCCCAAACUCCUACGGGAGGCAGCAGUAGGGAAUCUUCCGCAAUGGACGAAAGUCUGACGGAGCAACGCCGCGUGAGUGAAAGAAGGUUUUCGGAUCGUAAAACUCUGUUGUCAGAGAAGAACAAGUUGGAGAGUAACUGCUCCAGCCUUGACGGUAUCUGACCAGAAAGCCACGGCUAACUACGUGCCAGCCGCCGC
rnacentral:rRNA from 1 species